rnacentral:miRNA from 1 species
CCGUGUGUAUUUGUGCGAGGCGU